AGCAGCCGCGGUAAUACGUAGGUGGCAAGCGUUGUCCGGAAUUAUUGGGCGUAAAGGGCUCGCAGGCGGUUUCUUAAGUCUGAUGUGAAAGCCCCCGGCUCAACCGGGGAGGGUCAUUGGAAACUGGGGAACUUGAGUGCAGAAGAGGAGAGUGGAAUUCCACGUGUAGCGGUGAAAUGCGUAGAGAUGUGGAGGAACACCAGUGGCGAAGGCGACUCUCUGGUCUGUAACUGACGCUGAGGAGCGAAAGCGUGGGGAGCGAACAGGAUUAGAUACCCUGGUAGUCCACGCCGUAAACGAUGAGUGCUAAGUGUUAGGGGGUUUCCGCCCCUUAGUGCUGCAGCUAACGCAUUAAGCACUCCGCCUGGGGAGUACGGUCGCAAGACUGAAACUCAA
rnacentral:rRNA from 1 species